UACGGAGGAUGCGAGCGUUAUCCGGAUUUAUUGGGUUUAAAGGGUGCGUAGGCGGGUUAUCAAGUCAGCGGUAAAAUCGUGGAGCUCAACUCCAUCCAGCCGUUGAAACUGAUGAUCUUGAGUGGGCGAGAAGUAUGCGGAAUGCGUGGUGUGGCGGUGAAAUGCAUAGAUAUCACGCAGAACUCCGAUUGCGAAGGCAGCGCACCGGCGCCCUACUGACGCUCAGGCACGAAAGCGUGGGUAUCGAACAGG
rnacentral:rRNA from 1 species